UGGGGAAUAUUGGACAAUGGGCGAAAGCCUGAUCCAGCCAUGCCGCGUGUGUGAAGAAGGUCUUCGGAUUGUAAAGCACUUUAAGUUGGGAGGAAGGGUAGUAACCUAAUACGUUGCUACUUUGACGUUACCGACAGAAUAAGCACCGGCUAACUUCGUGCCAGCAGCCGCGGUAAUACGAAGGGUGCAAGCGUUAAUCGGAAUUACUGGGCGUAAAGCGCGCGUAGGUGGUUCAGUAAGUUGGAAGUGAAAUCCCCGGGCGCAACCUGGGAACUGCUUUCAAAACUGCUGAGCUAGAGUACGGUAGAGGGUGGUGGAAUUUCCUGUGUAGCGGUGAAAUGCGUAGAUAUAGGAAGGAACACCAGUGGCGAAGGCGACCACCUGGACUGAUACUGACACUGAGGUGCGAAAGCGUGGGGAGCAAACA
rnacentral:rRNA from 1 species